CUUCAACGACCCCAACCACAACGGACGCUCCUCCACCCGCCCCUGCCCAUACGUCGCCAACAACGCCUGCGCCUC
rnacentral:antisense_RNA from 1 species